CGGGACCCUUCAGGGUGGGCUCUGGGGGCCAGGCGCGGCCUCAGCUCCGUCACUUCCCGGGAAGCCUCCUCCCUGGGGUCCACGCGGGCUCCUGCUGGCUCCCCCAUUCCGCCGAAAUCUGAGGAAAAGGCUCUGGGAACGCAGCCAGACUCCCCCACAGCUCAGACGGCUGUAAAGAAAUAUUCCUGCCAGAUGUUCAGAGGCAGAGGCCAGCUUGAGGUUCCCAGAACCAGAGCUUCUAUGACGGAUUCUCAACAGAAAAUGAAAUUCUCAGCUUACAGGCAACUACAGGCAAUGCUGCCAGAAACGUAUGUUUUCCUAUCUAGGAGUCAGUCUGUCGCAGACCGAUUCCUGGAUCGCCGAUGUCGCCCACUCUCCCCAGAAGCCUGCUCCCUCCCGACCCGACCGGUGGGAGGCCGCGUCCCCCACGCUUGCCAGGAGCCCCGCCUGCAGCCGAGGCGUCUUCCCUGCGCCGCGGGCUCCUGUGGCAACGGCCGCCUCCCGGCUGGCCUCUUUUCUGCCUUCUGCCUUCCCGUUGGCGACUGGGGAGGCCCGUGGUCAACGAGGCCCCAGCGAUCACCUGGGGGACGUCCUGUAGGGAGAGCCUGACUCAGAAGGACCAGUGUUGAGCCGUCGCACCCCCGCUUGGGACCAGGAUGGGCUGCACCUUCCCCACGCGUGGCCCUGGGACCCGCCCCACCCGAACCCCGGGGAGAUCCAACCGCAGGCUGCCUCGGGCCAGCGGACUCAUUCACACUCCGCAAACAGGCUGGGGCCAGAGGCCGCCCUGCCCUAGGUGCCCAGCAAACACGUGGGCCAGCCAGACCCCUGGACCCUCACAGGGAAGAGGAGAUGGAGAUGGGUUCACCCCCCACAAAGGAGGGAGGGGAGGGGAUGGCCGCCAUGCCCAGGUGCCGGGACAGGAGCCGAGGGCCGCGUGCAGCCCUUGGGCCCUUGGAGGGGCCGGCAUGUGCCUCUCUGUCCCUGUGCCACUUCCACUGGCCGUACAGGGCCACCACCGCGGAAACCGCAUGUGUAACCCCUGGAAACAGGGUCCUCCUUGAUGAGUCAUGUUCUCAGUUGGGAGGAAAAUUCACUGGAUAGUGGAGGCAGUAGAAAGAAA
rnacentral:lncRNA from 1 species